UGGGGAAUAUUGCACAAUGGGCGCAAGCCUGAUGCAGCAACGCCGCGUGAGGGAUGACGGCCUUCGGGUUGUAAACCUCUUUUAGUAGGGAAGAAGCGAAAGUGACGGUACCUGCAGAAAAAGCACCGGCUAACUACGUGCCAGCAGCCGCGGUAAUACGUAGGGUGCGAGCGUUGUCCGGAAUUAUUGGGCGUAAAGAGCUCGUAGGCGGUCUGUCGCGUCUGCUGUGAAAACCCGAGGCUCAACCUCGGGCCUGCAGUGGGUACGGGCAGACUAGAGUGCGGUAGGGGAGAAUGGAAUUCCUGGUGUAGCGGUGGAAUGCGCAGAUAUCAGGAGGAACACCGAUGGCGAAGGCAGUUCUCUGGGCCGUAACUGACGCUGAGGAGCGAAAAGCGUGGGGAGCGAACAGGAUUAGAUACCCUGGUAGUCCACGCCGUAAAACGUUGGGCGCUAGAUGUGGGGACCAUUCCACGGUUUCCGUGUCGCAGCUAACGCAUUAAGCGCCCGCCUGGGGAGUACGGCCGCAAGGCU
rnacentral:rRNA from 1 species